CAAAACCCGGAAGUAACGUGCUCUGUUACUUCUGGGUCGCCGCGGAACACAACCCGAAGCUACUUCAACCCAAGGUAUGACUGUAUUGGCCUAAUAUAAUGUACUAUUGGCCUAAUAAAUGCAGAAAUAAAAACUUUGCCUUAAAACCACUACUUCCAUUUCUUUCUCUGGAAUUCUCUUUCCAGUACUGCGGAAGGCUGGGCUGCCAACUAUUUUUUUUCCAGUUAUUCCUCUUAAGAUCAAUAUUUGCUGUUCUGGGGCAAGUUAAUUACACCAUCUGUGGUCCCCUAACACUGAACACAUUGGAGCUAAUAUAGACCUAUCGACAGCAACCUUUGUAGGCCUCUUCUUUGGAGGGUCCAAGGUGGGGCCUUUAAAUUUUGAAAUUUUUGAGUCUUUAAAUUUUGGGGAACACUUCCUCUGGUAACUCAGGAAAUUAUGCCAAUGGGGAAAGGACUUCCUCUCACACACUCACCAUGUGUACUGUACUCAGAAGUUGUCCUGCUGAAUUUAAUGAGGUUUACUCCCAGGUACAUGAAGUCAUGAGUGCAGCCUCUAGCUAGCCUGAUUUCACAGUUCAGCAUGAACUUACGUCAUUCUGUUCCAUCAGCCCAAGCAUCAGCGAGGGAGAGUUUAGCACCCUGUCAACACUUUGGUUUAUAGGAAUUACUCCUUCACUCAGUUGUAAUGUUAUUUAAUCACACAGGUGUCCUUUUUAUUGCAGCAUUUUAUUUCAUAAACAGGUAUUUGAUUCAGAAUAUGGUUAUAUGUAUAUGUCUCCUGAAACAUAAUGCUUAAGAUAAUCUAUCUUACCAUAUACAUAAAAAUGUAAAGGCGUCAAUACGCAUCCCCUAUUGGAGGAUAUGUAGUGCCCCAUUACAAUCCUGGAUUUGCAUGAAGGGAGGAGAGGAAAGAGAAGGCAGGUUGCAAGACCUCAAAGGAAAAUUGUAGUUUAAAACUACAAUUUAAGCAGAAAUUUGAAUAAAGCAGGGAUGGGGUAAAAACAGGGAGAAAGUGGUGAUUUUUUUUUAAUGGCAGAGGAGUGGGUAGGGAGAGUGGCAGAUUAAAGCAAGGUUAGAGUACAGCUAGAGGGGUGUUAGGAAAGGCUUUUUGGUGUUAACUUCUGUACAUGGGGAAGUUGACAAAAGGAGAGGAAGGAAACUUGGAAUCAAGGUGAAAACGGUACAAAGCAAGGCUACAGAAGACAAGGGGCAUCUGAAAAUUUGGUGCAAGGUGAAAAGCAUGUUUAGUAGUUGUAUGGGCUGGGAAGGGGAAGCUCUGGGGUGGGGUUAGUGUGGAGUGUGGCACAACCUUUAGUAAUAAGCUAAGCAACAACUUGCUCGCAGCCACCCAAUCAGCUUCCUAGCCAAACAGGACUCCAAAAUGCAGCAUUCUGUCCAUUUUACACUACACUGGCUUCCAAAGUGAGAGCUCCUUUCUAUGUCAUGAAUAUGUGAAGAAAAAGAUGAGGCAUGGACCUGCUCUGUUUGCUUCUAGACAGAUAUUGUGUUCUCCUAGCUUUUGAUCUUGUAAGUAGCGGCUCAUGCAUACUGAACAAGAUUUCUAGUAAGACCAAGAAAGUAAUCUGCUAACCUGCUCCCCUCCCUGCUCCAUCAAGCACUGAAUCUUCCCCACCAGCUACUUUACUUGGCCUUCUGUGACUAGCCCUUUCAAGAGAAAUUUCCACAAGUACACACGAGCAUGAUUUUGUAAAGUUUUUUUUUAAUUAUUCUUGUCUAUCAUCACUGAGUUCUUGACUCAGUCUUUCUAAAUACAUGUACAACACAAUGACUGCAAAGGAAGGGGAGGUAUAAAAGUAUUUUUUGCUAAUCCAAUAUGCAAACAUACUAUGAAUGAAAAUAGUUGAGGGAAAAUAAAUUAAAGGUUAUAUCAACUUC